AGAGUUUGAUCAUGGCUCAGGAUGAACGCUGGCGGCGUGCCUAACACAUGCAAGUCGAGCGAUCUUCUUCGGAAGAGAGCGGCGGACGGGUGAGUAACGCGUGGGUAACCUGCCCUGUACACACGGAUAACAUACCGAAAGGUAUGCUAAUACGAGAUAAUAUGCUUUUGUCGCAUGGUAGAAGUAUCAAAGCUCCGGCGGUACAGGAUGGACCCGCGUCUGAUUAGCUAGUUGGUAAGGUAACGGCUUACCAAGGCGACGAUCAGUAGCCGACCUGAGAGGGUGAUCGGCCACAUUGGAACUGAGACACGGUCCAAACUCCUACGGGAGGCAGCAGUGGGGAAUAUUGCACAAUGGGCGAAAGCCUGAUGCAGCAACGCCGCGUGAGCGAUGAAGGCCUUCGGGCCGUAAAGCUCAGUCCUCAAGGAAGAUAAUGACGGUACUUGAGGAGGAAGCCCCGGCUAACUACGUGCCAGCAGCCGCGGUAAUACGUAGGGGGCUAGCGUUAUCCGGAAUUACUGGGCGUAAAGGGUACGUAGGUGGUUUCUUAAGUCAGAGGUGAAAGGCUACGGCUCAACCGUAGUAAGCCUUUGAAACUGGGAAACUUGAGUGCAGGAGAGGAGAGUGGAAUUCCUAGUGUAGCGGUGAAAUGCGUAGAUAUUGGGAGGAACACCAGUUGCGAAGGCGGCUCUCUGGACUGUAACUGACACUGAGGCACGAAAGCGUGGGGAGCAAACAGGAUUAGAUACCCUGGUAGUCCACGCCGUAAACGAUGAGUACUAGCUGUCGGAGGUUACCCCCUUCGGUGGCGCAGCUAACGCAUUAAGUACUCCGCCUGGGAAGUACGCUCGCAAGAGUGAAACUCAAAGGAAUUGACGGGGACCUGCACAAGUAGCGGAGCAUGUGGUUUAAUUCGAAGCAACGCGAAGAACCUUACCUAAGCUUGACAUCCUUUUGACCGAUGCCUAAUCGCAUCUUUCCCUUCGGGGACAGAAGUGACAGGUGGUGCAUGGUUGUCGUCAGCUCGUGUCGUGAGAUGUUGGGUUAAGUCCCGCAACGAGCGCAACCCUUGCCUUUAGUUGCUAGCAUUAAGUUGGGCACUCUAGAGGGACUGCCAGGGAUAACCUGGAGGAAGGUGGGGAUGACGUCAAAUCAUCAUGCCCCUUAUGCUUAGGGCUACACACGUGCUACAAUGGGUGGUACAGAGGGCAGCCAAGUCGUGAGGCGGAGCUAAUCCCUUAAAGCCAUUCUCAGUUCGGAUUGUAGGCUGAAACUCGCCUACAUGAAGCUGGAGUUACUAGUAAUCGCAGAUCAGAAUGCUGCGGUGAAUGCGUUCCCGGGUCUUGUACACACCGCCCGUCACACCACGGGAGUUGGGGGCGCCCGAAGCCGGAUUGCUAACCUUUUGGAAGCGUCCGUCGAAGGUGAAAUCAAUAACUGGGGUGAAGUCGUAACAAGGUA
rnacentral:rRNA from 1 species